GAUUUCCAUCUCCAACUUGCAGGGACUUGCUUGAGGAAACUACCAGGUGACUUGAGUCAAGAGGCUUUAAAGACAUUUGGCGUAUUUCUAACAGUGUCAUGUUGGAGAAGGUUCUUUAGAAGGUUCUCCAGCCCAUUUGGGAAACUCCACGUAGCCCAUCAACCUCCCGCCAUCAAUCGCACCAACUAUAAAUUUCAUCCUGGGAAGGAAAUGUGCCUUGAGGGUUUCAUUCAUCUUCUAUGCCAGGUGCACGGGGAGAGCAGAGGAAGGGAAGGAAUCCAGGCCUUUUCACCCUCUGGGCUGCUGGUCCCUGGUGCCCUGAGCCCUGGAGGGCCGGGCUGGAAGCCAAGGAACAAAUUGGUGCUGCCCAGCUAGGGUACCACUGAGUUGAGUCACCCUGACCAGCAGGUCCACCGGCUCUUGGCAUGCAAGUCCAGCAAAACCGGACUCAGCACUUGCUGGGAUCUCCCUGAAGUGCAAUGAGUUUGGCUGGAACAUGAGUGGUUCAAGUUCUGACAUUUUGUUCAUCAUGGUAUUUUUGCAAUUGAUUCUGAUUUGGGGAGAAAGAUUGCAUUAAAUGUUUGUUUGUUU
rnacentral:lncRNA from 9 species